UUUUUAGAACAGAUAAUACACUGAGACUAACAAUUCUCUUACAGCGUUUAAGAAGAAGUGACUAAUACGCUUUGGUGAUCCAGGAACUAAAAUAGGAUCCCAUACUCUCUCCAACCUAUGAUCAACCAAGAAAGCAAGGCGCUCAAAACCAGUACUUAAUCCUAAACCAGAAAGACCAAGACUUUGAAGACCAUUGGGAGUGAGGAUGCCUCCUGAUGGCAGAGGUACAUAAAGACAGAGAAACAGAGACAAGUAAGUAACUUAAAAUAAAGUGGUCAAUGGAUUUGCUGGAGCCAUUGAUAUAGCAUUUGCUAACGCACAUCCUAUGUUUUGAAGUUCUCUGCAGUUUCUCAGGUUUGCUCUCCGUAGAAUCUCUUUGUAUUAUCUCAGCUUUUCCCUUCUUUGAAGUUGUGCGCAACCAUCUUAACACACAAACAGUAAUCAGCCAAUCCACAUUCUUAACAUGUUGAAACUUGAAUCCUUUGAAUGGAGUGUGUUGCAGAACAAGAGUAUCUCUGUCUGUGACUUGUUCCAACACCAUUAGAACCAUAUAACCAUGUAAUUUCUUUCCAUAAAAGUUUUCCAACAGAAUCUGGAAAGGAACUCCUCUUCCCAAAGUUGUUUUUAUAUAUUUGAACCAUGCUUCAUUCUCUGUGCAAUCAUCUUUAAGGCUAUGUCCUGAGAACGUCAAACAACUUCCAAACUGUUCCUCUGGAUUUAUUUUGAACUUGAAUCGCCGAGACUUUGACCACUUUUGCUUCCUCCUGGUUUUCUGGCAUCCUUCUCGAUGAGACAAAGUUUCUUCUUUCAGCUGAGUGUGGUGCUUCUCAUUCUUGCACAGCUCGUCUAAAUCUCUUUCAAGAUCAGAUGCAAACUCUUUCAUAUUAUCAACUACAAACUUGUCACACUCUGUUUAUGUACAGAUCCAGAGCCCUUUAUCGGAGUUAACUACGGUCUAGUCGCCGACAACCUCUCUCCGCUUUCUGAAACCGCCAAGCUCCUCCAAUCCAGAAGGUAAGACUCUACGGCGCGCCGAUCCCGCCAUCAUCAAAGCCUUAGUCGAGGCUACGUCCGACAAAUCUUCCAGGAAGAUACAACCCAAAUCUGAUGUCGAGUUGAACUUUUGUUUUGCUCCAAAAAAAAACUAUCCAAUGCCCAUUCAACACGCAUCCAGAAGAGACAAAUCCUCUCAUACCCCUAUAUCUCAUAACACAAUCUCAAAAGGACCCUUUUGUUCUUUUAAUUUUAUAUGUCAAACGAAAAAUCAUAAAAUUAAAA